GACGAACGCUGGCGGCGUGCCUAAUACAUGCAAGUCGAACGCUGAAGGAGGAGCUUGCUUCUCUGGAUGCGUUGCGAACGGGUGAGUAACGCGUGGGUAACCUGCCUGGUAGCGGGGGAUAACUAUUGGAAACGAUAGCUAAUACCGCAUACGAGUAGAUGUUGCAUGAUAUUUGCUUAACAGGUGGAAUUCCAUCACUACCAGAUGGACCUGCGUUGUAUUAGCUAGGUGGGGGGGUCACGGCUUCCCAAGGCGACUAUACAGAGCCGAUCCGCGAAGGGGGUCCGCCAAAACUGGACGUGGACACGGCUCAGACUCCUUCGGGGAGCAGCAGGAGGGAAUCUUCGGCAAUGGACGGAAGUCUGACCGAGGAAAGCCGCGGGAGGUAAGAAGGUUUUUGGAUCUUAAAGCUCUGUUGUAAGAGAAGAACGAGUGUGAGAGUGGAAAGUUCACACUGUGACGGUACCUUACCAGAAAGGGACGGCUAACUACGUG
rnacentral:rRNA from 1 species